rnacentral:rRNA from 1 species
UACAGGGGGUGCAAACGUUGCUCGGAAUCUUUGGGCGUAAAGCGCACGUAGGCGGUUCGUUAUGUCGGAUGUGAAAGCCCUUGGCUUAACCGAGGAAGUGCAUCCGAAACUGGCGAGCUAGAGUACUAAAGAGGAUCGCGGAAUUCCCGGUGUAGAGGUGAAAUUCGUAGAUAUCGGGAGGAACACCGGUGGCGAAGGCGGCGAUCUGGGUAGAUACUGACGCUGAGGCACGAAAGCGUGGGGAGCAAACAGG